GAUGAACGCUGGCGGCGUGCCUAAUACAUGCAAGUCGAGCGAACAGAUGAGGAGCUUGCUCCUCUGACGUUAGCGGCGGACGGGUGAGUAACACGUGGAUAACCUACCUAUAAGACUGGGAUAACUUCGGGAAACCGGAGCUAAUACCGGAUAAUAUAUUGAACCGCAUGGUUCAAUAGUGAAAUACGGUUUUGCUGUCACUUAUAGAUGGAUCCGCGCCGCAUUAGCUAGUUGGUAAGGUAACGGCUUACCAAGGCAACGAUGCGUAGCCGACCUGAGAGGGUGAUCGGCCACACUGGAACUGAGACACGGUCCAGACUCCUACGGGAGGCAGCAGUAGGGAAUCUUCCGCAAUGGGCGAAAGCUUGACGGAGCAACGCCGCGUGAGUGAUGAAGGUCUUCGGAUCGUAAAACUCUGUUAUUAGGGAAGAACAAAUGUGUAAGUAACUAUGCACGUCUUGACGGUACCUAAUCAGAAAGCCACGGCUAACUACGUG
rnacentral:rRNA from 1 species